GCCAGACUCCUACGGGAGGCAGCAGUGGGGAAUAUUGCACAAUGGGGGAAACCCUGAUGCAGCGACGCCGCGUGAGUGAAGAAGUAUUUCGGUAUGUAAAGCUCUAUCAGCAGGGAAGAUAAUGACGGUACCUGAGUAAGAAGCCCCGGCUAACUACGUGCCAGCAGCCGCGGUAAUACGUAGGGGGCAAGCGUUAUCCGGAUUUACUGGGUGUAGAGGGGGCGUAGACGGCAUGGCAAGUCUGAAGUGAAAGCCCGGGGCUCAACCGCGGGACUGCUUUGGAAACUGUUAAGCUGGAGUGCAGGAGAGGUAAGUGGAAUUCCUAGUGUAGCGGUGAAAUGCGUAGAUAUUAGGAGGAACACCAGUGGCGAAGGCGGCUUGCUGGACGACGACUGACGUUGAGGCUCGAAAGCGCGGGGAGCAAACAGGAUUAGAUACCCUCGUAA
rnacentral:rRNA from 1 species